UACAGAGGUCUCAAGCGUUGUUCGGAUUCAUUGGGCGUAAAGGGUGCGUAGGUGGCGCCGUAAGUCAGGUGUGAAAUUUCGGAGCUUAACUCCGAAACUGCAUUCGAUACUGCCGUGCUUGAGGACUGGGAGAGGAGACUGGAAUUUACGGUGUAGCGGUGAAAUGCGUAGAUAUCGUAAGGAAGACCAGUGGCGAAGGCGGGUCUCUGGACAGUUCCUGACGCUGAGGCACGAAGGCCAGGGGAGCAAACGGG
rnacentral:rRNA from 1 species